UACGGGGGGAGCAAGCGUUGUUCGGAUUUACUGGGCGUAAAGGGCGCGUAGGCGGUCAGCACAAGUCAGUUGUGAAAUCUCCGGGCUUAACUCGGAAAGGUCAACUGAUACUGUGCGACUAGAGUGCAGAAGGGGCAACUGGAAUUCUCGGUGUAGCGGUGAAAUGCGUAGAUAUCGAGAGGAACACCGGUGGCGAAGGCGGUGGUCUGGGCCGGAACUGACGCUGAGGAGCGAAAGCGUGGGGAGCGAACAGG
rnacentral:rRNA from 1 species